rnacentral:rRNA from 1 species
GGCUUAGAGUUUGAUCAUGGCUCAGGACGAACGCUGGCGGCGCGCCUAACACAUGCAAGUCGAACGGAGCUACUUUGACAGAUUCCUUCGGGAUGACGUUGAUUUAGCUUUGUGGCGAACGGGUGAGUAACACGUGAGCAACCUACCUUUCAGAGGGGGACAACAGUUGGAAACGACUGCUAAUACCGCAUAAGACCACGCUAUGGCAUCGUAGAGGGGUCAAAGGAGAAAUCCGCUGAAAGAUGGGCUCGCGUCCAAUUAGCUAGAUGGUGAGGUAACGGCUCACCAUGGCGACGAUUGGUAGCCGGACUGAGAGGUUGAACGGCCACAUUGGGACUGAGACACGGCCCAGACUCCUACGGGAGGCAGCAGUGGGGAAUAUUGCACAAUGGAGGAAACUCUGAUGCAGCGACGCCGCGUGAAGGAAGAAGGUCUUCGGAUUGUAAACUUCUGUUGUCAGGGACGAUAAUGACGGUACCUGACGAGAAAGCCACGGCUAACUACGUGCCAGCAGCCGCGGUAAAACGUAGGUGGCAAGCGUUGUCCGGAAUUACUGGGUGUAAAGGGAGCGCAGGCGGAUUGACAAGUUGGAGGUGAAAUUCAUGGGCUCAACCCAUGACCUGCCUUCAAAACUGUCAAUCUUGGGUGGUGUAGAGGUAGGCG